GAAGCAGAGAGGUGAUAUGAAGCAGCCAGGCAGGCAGUGGAGCAGACAACAUUAAAGAGAAAAAGAAACAGACCUGAAGUCACCCGUGUUGUUCUGUGAU